AUGGAGAGUGUUUGUGCAGUAGAAGGGUUUUAUCAGCGCGAAACACUCACAGGAAUUCCGGUUUGGGAUUGUCCAUCCAAUUCCUGCGUUCCACAGGAAGCUCUGCAUAAAAAGCAACUGAAAAACGCCCAAAGGCAUUCCAUUUUUCGUCAGUCGGUUCACGGGGAGCAUCUAGAAAUUAGCCGAAGUUUUGUUCUAAUAAAAAACCGUGGGUACGAGUUUAAAAUAAAUUGUGUAACGAUGGAAGAUUAUUCUAAACUGCCUGCCAAGUGGUCGAGGUUGGUUCCUAUGGCAGCCUCCAUUCAUCGCGCGCGCAGAGACGCACAACCACAUGACCUCAUACUGAGGGGGUAGCUGGCAUCAUCCUCCUGUAGAUCAACACAAGGAGCCGUAACAUCAGAGAGAGAGGAAGCCCUAACACAGCCAUUCUCCCCUCCUCCUCCCCCUCAUCCUCCCUUCUUCUCCCAUCAGACUGAGAGAGAGAGCGAGAGAGUGAGGAAAAGAGUGAGGGAACGUGGGAAAAAAGGGGAGACAUGUACCAAACACUCCUCCUCUCUUCCUCUCUCUUCCUCCUCCAUGUCGCGGCCACUCCACAGUUCCACGGUCAUCACGGGUAACCGCUCCCUCAUUCCACUUCUUGUGCUUGUUAUUGGCUGUCACUCAUUGGUCGGUCAGCCUUGGUCCUUGGGACGGCUCGGCUACAUGGGUGGCUAGCUUCAGUUACAGACUAGCCACUUACUUAAUUGGGAGCUAUUUAUUUUAAAAGGUUAUUUGCUUCUCUUGGCAUUCUCACCCUGAGUAAAUGUGUACUGGUUGGCCAGAUAACAGUUCUUAGAUUAUUAGACUUAGGUCAACUCUGAGGAGAUGCAGGUUCUAUUUUUGAGGUCUCAGUUGAUUUUUAUAGAGACCAAAACAAAAUAGAGCCCUCGCGAGAGGUCAAAGGGCGAUGAAAGGUUAGAGGUGACUCUCAACUCUGACACCUUCAGUGGCGAUUACAUCGGCCAAUCAGCAUCAAUCAGAUGUCAGCUAACCUCCACUGACUAAUAGAGACCUCAAGGUCACGUCCUCAAUUGAGAGUUAAAAUGCUUGAUGGACUGUUUAGUUUCCAGACUGGUUAAGAGACCACAUAGACUGGUUCAGAUAUCAUAUAGUAAGGUUGAAACCCAGUCUUAAUUAAACUAUCCCCUGGUGCAGCACAAUCUAUAGGUGAAUGCUUCAGAGGUAAUGGUAUAAGUGGUGUAAUUUCCCAUUUAAACCAUGAAGAUUCCUGUCAGUAAUUUAACUACCAACAUGAUGUAAAUGGUUAAUUUGAUGUCAAAUAAUUAUGAUUAUGAUGAAUUUCAUGACUUGGUGUGUAGCUAGCUGUUAAACUGAUACAGUGACAGACUGAUUUAACAACAGAGACAGUCGUCAUAUGUCCCAAAGAAUACCUCUC
rnacentral:lncRNA from 13 species